rnacentral:ncRNA from 2 species
CAAAAUCAUCAGGGGUGCUUUGGCAGCAAAGCUGAGAAAAACCCUUAUAACCUGCUCUGGGUAAUGCCUGCGAAGGGAGAGUGAAUUUGACUUAUA